ACCGUGUUCCGGGGCGGGAGGCUGUGCAAACCGAUACAGGCCGGUCCCGGAACCCUGGAGGCUGAAGAUUGCGCUCUGCCUGGUUGCUGGCUGCUGACCCAGUGGAGCUGGCCCCUCCUUAAACUCGGAACAGCUCACCGCACCCAUCUCUUCACCAACACCAGGAUUUCACUGUUUUGUGGCUUGACCCUCUCCUCUAGAAGAUUCAGUUAUAAGGAAAAUAUGGAUCUGGCAGAGUUGAAGCCCCUGAAGAUCCUGAAUGCUGAGGAAGCAGAAGAGAUUCUGAGGAAUCUCUUUAAUAUUUCUUUGGAGAGAAAGCUUGUCCCCAAACAUGGUGACCAAAUUUUUAACCAUGCCAGGAUAAGGAGCAGAAAAAAGUCUUCAGUAUUACUUCAGUUUCUGAAACUAUGUAUUAUGGAAAAUGUCAAACAUAUAUAAAAAUAGAGAGAGUAGAGUAAUAACUCAGGGUAUUUGUCACUAACUUUCCAAUUAUCAAUUGUUGGCCAAUCAUAUUUUGUCUAUACCUGCAGAUUAUUUUGAAGAAAAUUCUAGAUAUCAAAUCAUUUUACCCAUCUUUGAUUUGUGGCCCUAACAAUGAGGUUAAGUGAGAAGAAGGAACUGGAGUAAAAGAAUGUUAGCUAAGAAAGUAGGAUUAUGAGGAGGCAGUGUAGCACUAUAAUACUAGUGUUAUAUUAGUGUAACAAUAUAAUACUAAGAGACUUGGGUGUAGGUAGUUUAUUUGGGAGGUGAUACCAGGAAGCAGGAAGGAGGAAGAGUCAACCUGAGGCCCAUCACCAGAUUUGCUGCUGGGGCAAAAUAGGCACCAUGCCAUUUGGACUUUGGAAACAGAAGAUAUAUUGCCUCCUAGAAUUGUCUGCCUAAAGAACAGGAUGUGAAUGCCCUUGUCCAUUGGAUCCCUUCUCCCCUUUUCUGUGAGUUCACCAUGGUGUGUGCUCCUCUGCAGUUCCAAGUUGCGCAUGUGCCUGAGCUCCUGCAGGUCUACAUUGACAAUGUGCUG
rnacentral:lncRNA from 1 species